rnacentral:rRNA from 1 species
GAUAAGCGCCGGUAAGGUGAUAUGAACCGUUAUAACCGGCGAUACCCGAAUGGGGAAACCCAGUGUGACUCGUCACACUAUCAUUAACUGAAUCCAUAGGUUAAUGAGGCGAACCGGGGGAACUGAAACAUCUAAGUACCCCGAGGAAAAGAAAUCAACCGAGAUUCCCCCAGUAGCGGCGAGCGAACGGGGAGGAGCCCAGAGCCUGAAUCAGCAUGUGUGUUAGUGGAAGCGUCUGGAAAGGCGCGCGAUACAGGGUGACAGCCCCGUACACAAAAGCGCAUGUGCUGUGAGCUCGAUGAGUAGGGCGGGACACGUGGUAUCCUGUCUGAAUAUGGGGGGACCAUCCUCCAAGGCUAAAUACUCCUGACUGACCGAUAGUGAACCAGUACCGUGAGGGAAAGGCGAAAAGAACCCCGGCGAGGGGAGUGAAAAAGAACCUGAAACCGUGUACGUACAAGCAGUGGGAGCACAGGUUUACCUGUGUGACUGCGUACCUUUUGUAUAAUGGGUCAGCGACUUAUAUUCUGUAGCAAGGUUAACCGUAUAGGGGAGCCGUAGGGAAACCGAGUCUUAACCGGGCGUUAAGUUGCAGGGUAUAGACCCGAAACCCGGUGAUCUAGCCAUGGGCAGGUUGAAGGUUGGGUAACACUAACUGGAGGACCGAACCGACUAAUGUUGAAAAAUUAGCGGAUGACCUGUGGCUGGGGGUGAAAGGCCAAUCAAACCGGGAGAUAGCUGGUUCUCCCCGAAAGCUAUUUAGGUAGCGCCUCGUGAAUUCAUCUCCGGGGGUAGAGCACUGUUUCGGCUAGGGGGCCAUCCCGGCUUACCAACCCGAUGCAAACUGCGAAUACCGGAGAAUGUUAUCACGGGAGACACACGGCGGGUGCUAACGUCCGUCGUGAAGAGGGAAACAACCCAGACCGCCAGCUAAGGUCCCAAAGUCAUGGUUAAGUGGGAAACGAUGUGGGAAGGCCCAGACAGCCAGGAUGUUGGCUUAGAAGCAGCCAUCAUUUAAAGAAAGCGUAAUAGCUCACUGGUCGAGUCGGCCUGCGCGGAAGAUGUAACGGGGCUAAACCAUGCACCGAAGCUGCGGCAGCGACGCUGAUGCGUUGUUGGGUAGGGGAGCGUUCUGUAAGCCUG